rnacentral:lncRNA from 1 species
UAGGAUGGAAGAACAAAACCUUGUAUUAAAAUAGAGAGUACGAUUUAAUUAAACGCGGAGCUAAUAAUGUUCUAGAAGUGAAUAGCACGAUAAGGUUUUGUAAGACGACCAAAGCGACGUAUCCCUUUGAAAAAGAUCACAUGGUUACUUUCUACUACUUACAACAAUACGUAAUCAGUAAUCAAUCACGCAAACAAAUUUCACAAACCUCAAAAUCGUAUUUAACCCUUAGGCUUCUGCUCGUUGAUCACGCAGUGGUUUAUAGUAUUUGGAGGCAGAGAAACAACCUCAUUCACAACCAAACUGUUGUUCCGCCCCGCUCACUGUCUUGAAGGAUAUUGACCGCCAGAUCAUCAACUAUAUCACUGCCAGCAGGAAUCUGAAAAAUUUCAGAAACUUAAUGGGCCUUGGGGCUUUGCUAAAGGGUCUCUUGUUGCUGGAACCAAUCUCUAGAGAAUCUAUAUCUCAAUUGAUCCUUGUUUUUUCACUUUCUUUUGCCAAGGUUCAAUUUCAAUAGGUCCUCCAAAUCUUGUAACACCUAAACUUUUCAUCUAAUGAUAUUUACUUGCUUAAAAAAAAAAAAAAAAAAAAGUCGAACUAAUGAAUAAAGUUUCUGUGUAGCCCAGUGGGCUCAUUAGAUUCGUAUUUAACAAAAAAAAAAGAAAAGAAAAAGAAAAAAAAGAGUCGAACUAAUGAAUAAAGUUUCUGUGUAGCCCAGUGGGCUCAUUAUAAUGCUAUUAGAUUUUGCAUGGCCUGGUG